CUCUAAAAAGUAUUUAAUUGUACAUUUGCCUUCCAAGCAAAAAGACUAAUAAUUUAGUUUAGAGA
rnacentral:tRNA from 1 species